rnacentral:pre_miRNA from 1 species
UUCCCGUCCCAUUUUAAGUCUGUUCAACGUUUGUUCGUCCGUCUUAUUUGAAAUAAUUUUCUGAUUAGUAUUUUUAUUGUUGUUAGAUGAUAAAAAUAAAUAGUACUUUAUGUGUGACUUAUUUUUUUAUAUUUUUUUCAAAUAAUACAAAUGGUCAAACGUUGGACACAGAAAA